GACGAACGCUGGCGGCGUGCUUAACACAUGCAAGUCGAACGGUGAAGGGACUGGUUUUGCUGGUCCUGGAUGAGUGGCGAACGGGUGAGUAACACGUGAGUAACCUGCCCCCUUCUUCUGGAUAACCGCAUGAAAGUGUGGCUAAUACGGGAUAUUCUGGGUCUGUCGCAUGGUGGGCCUGGGAAAGAUUGCGCCUUUUUUGGUGUUUUUGGUGGGGGAUGGGCUCGCGGCCUAUCAGCUUGUUGGUGGGGUGAUGGCCUACCAAGGCGGUGACGGGUAGCCGGCCUGAGAGGGUGGACGGUCACACUGGGACUGAGACACGGCCCAGACUCCUACGGGAGGCAGCAGUGGGGAAUAUUGCACAAUGGGCGCAAGCCUGAUGCAGCGACGCCGCGUGAGGGAUGGAGGCCUUCGGGUUGUGAACCUCCUUCGCCAGUGAAGCAGGCCUGCCUCUUUUUGUGGGUGGGUUGACGGUAGCUGGAUAAGAAGCGCCGGCUAACUACGUG
rnacentral:rRNA from 1 species